rnacentral:rRNA from 1 species
GAUUUCUGGCUCAGCAGCGUCUGGCCGGCCUCGGUUUCGAGUGCGACGUGCCGCGACGCUCUAGCCAUCCUUCCAAUCGCUGUGUUGCUGUUCUUCAUUGAACGACAGCACGGUAUUGGAUCUUUUACUUUGAAAAAAUUAGAGUGUUUCAAGCAGGCUUAAUGCUAUGAAUACAUUAGCAUGGAAUAAUAAUUUAGGACUUCGGUUCUAUUUUGUUGGUUUCUAGGACUGAAGUAAUGAUUGAUAGGGAUAGUUGGGGGUGCUAGUAUUCAGCGGCCAGAGGUGAAAUUCUCGGAUUCGCUGAAGACUAACUUAUGCGAAAGCAUU